GGCGGAGAAGUCUAGCCAGGUUUGACACCUCGCUCAAGACGAGGCGGCGAGUCCAUCGCCUUGCGGGUUCGAAUCCCGUCUCCGCCG
rnacentral:tRNA from 1 species